CGGGGAGUAGCGCAGACUGGUAGCGCGCUUGGCUUGGGACCAAGAGGUCGGCGGUUCAAAUCCGCUCUCCCCGACCA
rnacentral:tRNA from 1 species